rnacentral:rRNA from 1 species
AGCUAGUUGGUGAGGUAAAGGCUCACCAAGGCGACGACGGGUAUCCGGCCUGAGAGGGCGACCGGACACACUGGGACUGAGACACGGCCCAGACUCCUACGGGAGGCAGCAGUGGGGAAUUUUGGACAAUGGGCGCAAGCCUGAUCCAGCAAUGCCGCGUGAGUGAAGAAGGCCUUCGGGUUGUAAAGCUCUUUUGUCAGGGAAGAAACGGCUGAGGAUAAUACCUUUGGCUAAUGACGGUACCUGAAGAAUAAGCACCGGCUAACUACGUGCCAGCAGCCGCGGUAAUACGUAGGGUGCAAGCGUUAAUCGGAAUUACUGGGCGUAAAGCGUGCGCAGGCGGUUUUGUAAGUCUGUCGUGAAAUCCCCGGGCUCAACCUGGGAAUUGCGAUGGAGACUGCAAGGCUGGAGUCUGGCAGAGGGGGGUAGAAUUCCACGUGUAGCAGUG